rfam:Triticum aestivum genome assembly, contig: Triticum_aestivum_CS42_TGACv1_scaffold_503163_6BL
AGUGUACUACCUCCGUCCGAAAAAGCUUGUCCCAAGGUUGUCCCUCAAGUAGAUGUAUCUAGUACUAACUUGGUGCUAGAUACAUCCAUUUGAGGACAAACUUUUCCGGACGGAGGGAGUACCUA